AGAUUGAAUAUAAAAUAUACAUUUUAGUUGUUUUUUUUGACUGUAUGAGUUAUAGAUAUAAAUGUUAUACAUAUUUUUUAAGCAUGUAAAACUAAAUGCACUAUGAUACAGUCUAUUAUUGCUACUAACUACAGCUACAACAGAUUUUAAAAACAAAAUUUUUUAUUUUUUUGUUUUUUAAAUGAAAAAUAAUACAAAAUUCAAUUACUUUUUGACUGUAGGAGUUACAUGUAAAGCCAAAUGCGCCAUGAUACUGUUCAUUAUUGCUACCAACUACAGCAAAUACAUUUUUAAAAGUAAAUGUUUAAUUUUUAAAAAAAGAAAAAUAAUCAAAAUGUAAUUACUUUUUGAGUGUAGGAGUUACGCAUGUAAAACCAAAUCCAUUGUGAUAGUGUUCAUUAUCGCUACCAAAUAGAGCAAAAUCAGAAUGUUACCUUUUUGACCAUUAGUUGUGCAUGUAAAAUUAAAUGCACUAUUUUACAGUCUGUUAUUGCUACUAAUUACAGCAAAUAGAUUUGCAAAACUCUGUUUAAUUUAAUUUCUUUAAAAGAAACAGUCAAAAUUCAAUAAUGUUUUGACUUUAGGAGUUAAACAGGUAAAACUAAAUGCACUAUGAUACUCUCUAUUAUUGCUACUAACUACAGCAAAAAUUUUACAUUUUUUUAUUGUAACUUUUAAAAAUAAAUAUAAUCAGAAUUCAAUAAUGUUUUGACUAGGAGUUACAAUUGUUAAACCAAAUGAAUGUUAUGAAUGUAAUCUAACAUCUACAGCUGUGGGUUUAUAUAUUUUAAGAUUCCAUUUCGAAACUGCAAUUUUUUUUGUUGCAAUAUUUGCAAUUUAAAGCUUAUCGUCAUAAAAGUUGAAGAUAAAACAAGAUCAAAACCUGAUUAGCAGUUAGUCUUAUGAUUGUCCGCUUUUUAAAAAAUUACAAAAACAUUUUUAAUAGUUUUUAAAAUCUAUUCACUGUAGUUAGUAGCAAUAAUAGACUGCAUCAUAAUGCAUUUGGUUUUACAUGUAUAACUCCUACAGUCAAAAAGUUCUUGAACAAAAAUAUAUUUUAUAUUAAACAUUAAAAUGUAAUAUAAAAUUAUACUUUAUAUUUCAUUUUUACUUGCGAAACAGGGUGUUACUGAGUAUUGACCAUGCGGUUUUACAUGGUGCUCCUUUCAUUUUUUUAAAACUUUGUACAAAACAAACAAACAAACAAACAAAAAAUACACUAAUCUUGCUUAAAAUGUUGAAAAGAAUAUUUCAUAAUGAACAUAAUAAAUUUCAUAAUGGACAACAGUUCAUCUUCUACUCACUUAACUAUUCACAGUAACAGAAAUUUUGGGCAGUGGUGCCCACACGUUUGCAUGACACUGUAUAUUAAAUUUUAUUACAGCACUUCUGUAAUACUUUAGUGUAAUAGACUACUGCACUUGUAAUGAGUCUUACAUCCCACUGUACUGACUCCAUGCUCUAUCAUAACACUACAAUACGUUAGCUAUCCUGCAAAGUAGCCUAUAAUCUUGGUAGAAUCUUACACAGUUGCCCAGGCCAUGCACAUUUUAGACGAUCCCUUACUAACUCCAUUACUAUAAAGUGCUUAUGACCUGCUUUUCAAAAAGAUUAGCUUCAGCUGGCUUCAGAUGGAGUAUGGAAAGCCAAAUGGGUCUUAUUCGCGUGCAUCAUUAAGCCGUUUUCAGUGUAAAAACACAGUUUUCUAAUCGCAACCAGGCGUUAAGAAAAUGCCGCUAGAUGUUAAACGCCACACAUCGCUUAAUAGACACACUGAAAGAGAAGGAGCUUUGUUUUACAACAUGGUUAGUGGACUCAAAUGUGCUACUCACAUGGAAGCCACCGCCCAUGUUCUCGCCGAACCAUACGUGCUUCUGACCCUUGCUCUUGGCACUCCACCAGUUCUUGCGUGGGAUGCUGCUUGUAGUUGG